rnacentral:lncRNA from 1 species
ACUGCCAUACGAACUUGAGUUUGCUGUCGGACUUCUAGAAGUAGAUCUAGAUUGACUUUCUGACAUUUAAAAUUGCUCGGCUCACUGUAUUGCUCAAUCCUUAUGAAAGUAAUCCGAUCUCAAGUGGGAUCAUUGCUUCUAUUUCAUAGGCUAAAUUGAAUGACGAUUCUUUCAUUGAUAUACGAGGAGUCGAUCAAUAUGU